rnacentral:misc_RNA from 1 species
GAUGAAGAACGCAGCGAAAUGCGAUAAGUAGUGUGAAUUGCAGAAUUCAGUGAAUCAUCGAAUCUUUGAACGCACAUUGCGCCCCUUGGUAUUCCAUGGGGCAUGCCUGUUCGAGCGUCAUUUGUACCUUCAAGCUCUGCUUGGUGUUGGGUGUUUGUCUCGCCUCUGCGUGUAGACUCGCCUCAAAACAAUUGGCAGCCGGCGUAUUGAUUUCGGAGCGCAGUACAUCUCGCGCUUUGCACUCAUAACGACGACGUCCAAAAGUACAUUUUUACACUCUUGACCUCGGAUCAGGUAGGGAUACCCGCUGAACUUAAGCAUAUCAUAAGCGGAGGA